rnacentral:rRNA from 1 species
AAGGAGGAGCUUGCUCCUUUGGAUCAGUGGCGAACGGGUGAGUAACACGUGAGCAAUCUGCCCCGAACUCUGGGAUAAGCGUUGGAAACGACGUCUAAUACCGGAUACGACGCGCGAAGGCAUCUUCUGCGCGUGGAAAGAAUUUCGGUUCGGGAUGAGCUCGCGGCCUAUCAGCUAGUUGGUGAGGUAAUGGCCCACCAAGGCGACGACGGGUAGCCGGCCUGAGAGGGUGACCGGCCACACUGGGACUGAGACACGGCCCAGACUCCUACGGGAGGCAGCAGUGGGGAAUAUUGCACAAUGGGCGCAAGCCUGAUGCAGCAACGCCGCGUGAGGGACGACGGCCUUCGGGUUGUAAACCUCUUUUAGUAGGGAAGAAGCGAAAGUGACGGUACCUGCAGAAAAAGCACCGGCUAACUACGUGCCAGCAGCCGCGGUAAUACGUAGGGUGCAAGCGUUAUCCGGAAUUAUUGGGCGUAAAGAGCUCGUAGGCGGUUUGUCGCGUCUGCUGUGAAAACUGGAGGCUCAACCUCCAGCCUGCAGUGGGUACGGGCAGACUAGAGUGCGGUAGGGGAGAUUGGAAUUCCUGGUGUAGCGGUGGAAUGCGCAGAUAUCAGGAGGAACACCGAUGGCGAAGGCAGAUCUCUGGGCCGUAACUGACGCUGAGGAGCGAAAGCAUGGGGAGCGAACAGGAUUAGAUACCCUGGUAGUCCAUGCCGUAAACGUUGGGAACUAGAUGUAGGGUCCAUUCCACGGAUUCUGUGUCGCAGCUAACGCAUUAAGUUCCCCGCCUGGGGAGUAC